rnacentral:lncRNA from 12 species
AGCUUGCCAGCUGACUGCUCUGUGUCUGUGUGCAUUGUGCAGGCACCAACAGCCUGUGUGCUGCUUUCAGGUUCUGGACGACAGCUGGGACCGGCUGAGCCACCAGGAGAUGCUGAUGCUGCUGCAGAUGCAGAGGAUGAAGAUUCUGUUAAUGAAGUGGCAGUAGAAGACAUUCGUCCAAGGCCACAAGGAUCCUCUCCAGUUUAUGAGUAUCCUGUUGAAGAAGACUAUUUAAAGGCAAGAUACUGAAUUUUCAUGCAGGCAUGGCUUUAUCAAGUUGAUUCAAGAGGCUUUAGC